AAUGUCUUAGGUUAAUUAAAACCUUGGGCCUUCAAAGUCCAAUAUAAAGUAAGUUCUUUAGACAUUA
rnacentral:tRNA from 1 species